rnacentral:rRNA from 1 species
UCAGACGAUGCGUCAUGCAUAUCAAUAAGCGGAGGAAAAGAAACUAACAAGGAUUCCCCUAGUAACGGCGAGUGAAGCGGGAAGAGCUCAAAUUUGAAAUCUUAAAGGGUUUCCCUUUACGAAUUGUAGUUUAAAGAAGUGUUUUCUGUUGAGGUUUUGGUAAAAGUUCUUUGGAAUAGGACAUCAUAGAGGGUGAGAAUCCCGUAUUUGACCUUUACUUUCAACUUUGUGAUACACUUUCAAAGAGUCGGAUUGUUUGGGAAUGCAGUCCAAAAUGGGUGGUAAAUUUCAUCUAAAGCUAAAUAUUGGCGAGAGACCGAUAGCGAACAAGUACCGUGAGGGAAAGAUGAAAAGAACUUUGAAAAGAGAGUUAAACAGUACGUGAAAUUGUCAAAAGGGAAGCGUUUGACACCAGUGUUGUUUUUCUGAAAAUCAAUUAAAGAACUGUUUAUGCUAAGUUGUUUAGACUUUAUCAGCUAUCUGUUUAGUUUUAGGCUUUUCUUUAAUGCACUUUUCAGUUAACAAGUCAACAUCAAUUUCUUUUGCUGUAAAAAAGCUUGAGGAAGGUGGCUUGAGAUUCGUCUUAAGUGUUUAUAGCCUCUUGCCUAUGCAGUCGGAGAGAUUGAGGUCUGCAGCGUAGAUCCUUCGGGGCUAAAUGCAUUUGUGCUAAGUUAUAGCAUUUUAUAGACAACUUGUUGACUAUGAUUUGUCUUGUAGCUUACUCGCUUAUGUUAUUUUACCUACGCUUAGGAUGUUGACACACGCGCGUGCUCG